UGCAGGAUGAAAAGUAUGAUUAGUAUCACACUGCGGGCUACCCUGAGGUACUGCUGGCGGGUUUACAUGCAUUUAGGAGGUGACAGGUUCCCUUUAAGUGAAUGGAUUAUGUCAGUG